UAAGACGAACCGUGCGAACGUUGUUCGGAAUCACUGGGCUUAAAGGGCGCGUAGGCGGCCCGUCCAGUCCGGGGUGAAAGCCCCCAGCUUAACUGGGGAAGGGCCUCGGAUACUGACGGGCUGGAGGGCGGUAGGGGUCGCGGGAACUUCCGGUGGAGCGGUGAAAUGCGUUGAUAUCGGAAGGAACGCCGGUGGCGAAAGCGCGCGACUGGACCGCUUCUGACGCUGAGGCGCGAAAGCCAGGGGAGCGAACGGGAUUAGAUACCCCGGUAGUCCUGGCCCUAAACGAUGAGGACUAGCUUGCGGACUGGUCAUGGGUUCGCAGGCGAAGCGAAAGUGUUAAGUCCUCCGCCUGGGGAGUAUGGUCGCAAGGCUG
rnacentral:rRNA from 1 species